CCACACCCCCUGGAACUGCACAAUAGGAAACAAGUAGGAAGGAUGCUGAAUGGAGAGUUGAGUGGUGCUUGCUUUGCCAACUCCUGAAGCCACUGUCUGCUUCCUCAAGGUUUGGAUCAGGAUGGGGAUGAGCAUUUCGUGCCCCAGUGGUGGAUGUCAGGAUGCAGAGCUUGUGGGUUCCUUUGUAAAGUGUCCUCUGAGACCACAGCCCUGUCGGACAGACUGAUGACACCCAAGUGAAUGUGCCUCCACAUUGCCCCAGCCAGGCAGCUCUGCAGCAGCGGGCAUUCCUGCUGCCAGGGAAAGCAACUGGAGAGCCUUCAGCCUCCCCUCCCCUCAACUUUACAGGCACACCUGGCACAAUGAUGCUUGUAAAUGGGAGGGAGAGAGUUAAUGGUGGAAUUUGGGUUUUGUACAAAUCAGCACAUUCUACUUUUAUAAAUGCACGUAUCUAUAUAUAGAGAGAGGGGUGAACGUUCCAGCGCGACAUCGCAUUUUUAUCGAGAAGAACCCAAGUCUACAGGCUGGAUAUUAAGCCAAACAGCAUGUUUGCAGCACAUUUCAUCUCUUUCUUCGAGCCUCCGGUUUUCCGGGAGAGGUUUUGAAGUGGCCUCAUUUGUAAUCUGACCUCUCUUCAUGUCAUAUUUGCGUCAUCAGCUCUGGGGGCCAUGCUAGGAUGCUGACAAGUAUUUCUGGCUUUAAAAUAUGACUCUUUGGCAACCCAAAGAAGAAAAAAAAAAAGACAAAUACCCCACUGACUUUGGAGUGUUUCUGCAUAAAAUGGAGAGGGCUCAUGGCACAAUGCAACUGCGACCAAGAGUGUCCCAGGACACCGCUCUGCUUUAUUACCAGUGGUUAUUGCAAGCCCAAUAGGGGGACUGGUUGGCUGGAGAUGCCUAUGGCAAAAGGAAUGUGGACAUAGUGUUGGGGUAGAGCAGGGGCAAUCAAAGCUCUGAGAAAAUGCAUUUUUGCUGUUUUCCUAUCAGCUGAGGCUACGUCAGAAACCAUCAGCAGCACCUGGUGUUAGAUCCGGUGCUCGUGCAAAGAGAAAAGAGAUGCAUCUUCACGAACUCAGUGGAGCUACGUAGAUUUCUGCAAUCGUAACAUCUGAAAAAGAGAAAAAGAAAUGGGCUUAUGUAGACUUAGAAGUAAUCUCUAUUAAUCCCCCAAUUCUUCAAGACGGUCUUCAAGAGUUUUGGGUUUUACGUGUAUGUCAGCAUCUACAAGGUUGAAACCAAAGGAUGUUCCAGCCAGCCCCGAAAUGAAAAACCUAAAUAUGAAAUAUUAAAAACAGAUCGGCUCUAGAGAAGAACUUUGACAUCGCCACAAAUCUGAAGAAGAAAGGGAAAACUCUGGCACUGAAAUUCAGGAUGACAUCACUUUCUGAGAACCUGAUGCCAAAACAGUGCUAUCUCUGGGAGAGCUUCAGUGAAAGCUUUUGUCAUCUUUGCCAGGUUAAUAUAGCUUUGAGAUAAAAAGCACUUUCUUAUUUAUUCUGCAUGAUGGGGGGGCGAGGCAGGGGGUGCGUUUUCCCCUGGGAAAUAUUACAUUCAGAUAUGUAGUAUCCAUUCCAGCAGCAGAAGACUUGCCAUCUUUGAGCAAGUCAUUGAUCUUCCUUCCCUAACGUGUUCAAAAACCCAAUGACACACAAUGCUUCUGAAAGAAGCCUGGAAACCACAGUGCUCCUUGGUGGCUGCGUAAUGCUAUACUCGGGGCUCAGCAAUUUAUUUCUUAUUUUUAUUUUUUUUAUUUUUUACUUCAAUUUAUCAUCACCAGCUUUCUGCAAAUUGUCAAGAGGAGCCCCUGUCAAAACCCUGACACCGCCACUCUCCUUUUGUUUUCCCCCUACGUCCAUCAGUUCAGUGGGGGGUUCCAAAAAGAUACAAUGAAAUGCAAAACCCGGGGAGGAAAUCAGCUUUGCUCUGCACUGCCUGCAGUGUGCAGAGCUCUCUCGCUUGCUUUUUUUUUCCCCUUCCCGGCAGCAGGGACAGCAGGUAGCUCCUUCCCUCUAAAGCUCCAGGUCAUAAACGUCUCUCAGCACCUUCAGGAAAUAAAAGCCCUGCGCUGGUGGGGCGGAUGCCUUGGAUACCAAACAGGUGACAUAAAUAUUGCGGCGGUAUGAGGUGUCGAUGCUAGCAAGGGGCUGUAAGAACAGAACUACAGCUGCGUGGAUUAUCACAGGCUCCUCUGGGACUGCAUGGGUAGAACAUGUGGGGUUGCAUGGAUAACACCUCUGGGACUGCAUAGGUAGCACAUUGGGACUGCCCAGAGAGCACCUAUGGGACUCUCCAGGUAACACCUCUGGGAAUCCCUAGAUAACUCAUUUAGCACUCCACAGAUGCUACCUUUGGGUGUUAUCCCCAGAUAACACCUCUGGGAUUCCCCAGAUAGCACUCCUCCACAUGCAGUGGUGGGUGCUGCUUCACACCCUCACAUCCGGCUGCAGAGGAACACCAGGUUUGCCUGGGUAGGCAAUGCAGACAGCAGGGCUAGAGAUGCAGAUGUGUGGCAUUUAAGGAAAAGCUGAGGGGGCUGUAAAGCUUUGGAUGGAAAAGGCCAUCCAAGAUUUGUGUCCAACAGAAAUCCAUCGUCAAAAAUUGCCACUUUUGGAGCACCAUACUAGGGAUGCCAAAGGUGAAUUGUCCGAAGCAAGGCAGAAAUCCUGCUUGCUGUGGAAGGGAGCAGCACGCACAGGCAGGGUUUGCAACCAGAGCUGGGAAGGAAAGGGACAGCGUGAGGAAGGGCUGAGCAGUGGGGCCAGGUCCCAGAGCCAGCAGGGAGGGAGCAGACCGCAGCCCAUCCUGGCUAUCAGCACCUUUAGCAACGCUCGUCUGAGGCACGUCCAGGUUUCAUCACCUUCCAUGGCCUCGUUCUCUCCGUGCCAGAUAUAUUUGUUGUUAAUUAAGACAAUUGGAAAGAGACCGGAUGACUGCCAGAGCAGAUGCACUGGGAUAUCUCCCAACAUGGAAAGCAUCUCCUGCAACAUGUCAUUCCCUUUGUUCAGGUCUCUCCUUGAGCACCCAUUUAGGUUUGGAUCACUACCGGGCAUCCCACUUUCCCAGGUCCCUCCGGCCCAUUGGGAUGGGUGCCCAAAGGGCUGUUUGGGAGGAAACCCUAUGAAGUGUCUGAGCAUUCUGGGAUUCGGUGUCCCAUUUGCAAAAGCAACUUAUGCAAUUGUGGGAAAGUUUAUAAAUAAUUUGCAGCUCAUGGUUUGGUUUGUAACUUCUACUGGGAGCCAGGCGGAGUGGGGGGCGUAUUCUGUGUAUCCUUCUGCAUACGCUCCUGUAGGAGGACGGGGAUCCGGUUACAAAGACCUCAAAACAUUUGAACCAGUUGGAGUUGGAUGAUUGUAUAUAGGCUGUUCUGAAAUAUAACCAACAUUUACUGAAAGCUGACCCUGCGUGAGAGCCGGCGCUUUGGCCAGCGUGGUCCCCAGUGGCACUGCUCAAGCAGGUGUUGGUGACCCUGCAGAACGAGUUACGGAUGGGGACGUGCCUGCAGCGCCCUGCAGUCCGGGCUGCUGGGGGAAGGUGAGCAGCAAAGCCACAGUGAGGUCAGAACUGGAAAACACCCAUCCUGGAAAUUCGUAUCCUGAACGUGUGCCCCAUCCUUGUGAGCACUGCGGUGACAUGGUGCAUGGCACUGUGCAAGUGGGAGCAGCCACGAUCUGUGUUCGUGCCAAACACCUGCAACCCCUUUCCAACAGCACUACUCACUUCGGUUUCACAUCUUUAUGUUUCUUAGUGUGUCACAAAGAAAAUAAACACAUGCUCCACCAAUGAGUCUCCUCGAAUGAGAUCCAUAACGUUCCUCAUGGUGCUCCACGCUUCCCAAAGAAACGGAGCUAGAGAUAGAUGGCUCACGUAGAGCUGAUGGAAACAGUUUGGAGCUAACUUUUUCCAUCAGAAAAUGUCACCUCAUCAAAAUGGAUAUGUUCCGAGGGAUGGGAUCGAUUUUGACAAAAUCUUCAGUGGAAAAGUGUCAGAAUGAAUUGUUUCCACCCUCUUGCUUUGUCGCCAUAAACUCAGAAAGUUCCGCUCUGAUCAAGCUCAAUUUUCUCUGGGCUGUGUCAGCCUGCCUGAUGCAGAGAGCAAUUUGCUGUGAGCCUGGAUGGCAGCGAUCAGUGCAGCACUGCCCAUUCUUCUUUGGGAUGUGCCUGGGGCUUUUGCUCCCAGCGUUUCACUGCUAUGGGGGGAGGAACCAGCCAGGUGCAUGGGGCACGCAGUGAUGCUGCUUGGGGGUCUCUGCUGGCCCCCAAAUGCAGAGCAGCACAUUCCUGCCAGCAGCCCUCCUCCCAGGAAUCCCAGCACCCUCCGAUCCCAUCGCCCCUGCAGUUCACCUCUCACCACCUGUGGCCACAUCAGCCCCAUUUCCCUCCAGAUGAAGCUGGGAGACGGGCAGCAGCAGCUUUCCCACCAUCCACUCAUGUGCUCAAAGCAGGGUUUGAGCCCCCAACCCCCUGGACAUGCCCAGCUCCAAUAAAUCUUCGGAGCGACCAUAAUUAUUAUCAGUGCCAUUUUCAACAUGAGCAAAACAAUCUAUUUAUCCUUAUUCUCUCAGAACAGAACGAUCCUCUCCAGCUGGAGCUGACUUUUCUCUCUCUUCACACUGCUUUUUUUGCCCUCCUGCUGCUGUCAGCCUUCGGAAAGCGCUUGUUGUGGCAAAUUCCACCCCCAGUAAUAUAUUGCCCCUUACGUUUCUAACUGAAUUUCCAAUGGGUGACAUCCACAGCACCUGCUGCUACCAGUGCCAUCGCAGUGGUGGCCACAGACAGUGCUGGGCACAGGGUCAGAAUCCCUUCUCACACAGCAAAGCACAAGAAAACACAGGACAGCCACAGGUUUUCGCUCUAAAUCCAUGCCAAAAAGCAGACUGCAUGGCUUUGGUUGGAUGGGGGGCACCGCCUGCGCAUCCGUCUGUUCUCUGCCUGAAAAAGUGAAUGCUUCCUCGCAGCUCAAUAAUACUCCUUUUAUGUAUUUGUGGAACAAUAGGGUCUCCCUCUGGUGGCAAAUCCAGCCCGAGGUGUGCUGACAUGGCAGCGGGUGUAUGGGACAGCCAGCUGGCACCGGGCAGUGCCAAAGGGACUCACUGGAUUUUCGUCAGUGCUGGGUAGUGCUGGGCUGGGAUCCCCACACCCAUCCCAAAAG
ensembl:lncRNA